rnacentral:rRNA from 1 species
UACGUAGGGAGCAAGCGUUGUCCGGAUUUAUUGGGCGUAAAGGGCUCGUAGGCGGUUCGGUAAGUCGGGUGUGAAAACUCUGGGCUCAACUCAGAGACGCCACCCGAUACUGCUGUGACUUGAGUCUGGUAGGGGAGCACGGAAUUCCUGGUGUAGCGGUGAAAUGCACAGAUAUCUGGAGGAAUACCGGUGGCGAAGGCGGCAUCCUGGACCGGCAUUGACGCUGAGGAGCGAAAGCCAGGGGAGCAAACGGG